AGAGUUUGAUCAUGGCUCAGGAUGAACGCUAGCGGCAGGCUUAAUACAUGCAAGUCGUGGGGCAGCAUGGUGUAGCAAUACACUGAUGGCGACCGGCAAACGGGUGCGGAACACGUACGCAACCUUCCCAAAACUGGUGAAUAGCCCUCCGAAAGGAGGAUUAAUACACCGUAACAUAAUGAAAUGGCAUCAUUUUAUUAUUAUAGCUCCGGCGGUUUUGGAUGGGCGUGCGCCUGAUUAGGUAGUUGGCGGGGUAAUGGCCCACCAAGCCUGCGAUCAGUAACUGGUGUGAGAGCACGACCAGUCACACGGGCACUGAGACACGGGCCCGACUCCUACGGGAGGCAGCAGUAAGGAAUAUUGGUCAAUGGACGCAAGUCUGAACCGGCCAUGCCGCGUGAAGGAUGAAGGUCCUCUGGAUUGUAAACUUCUUUUAUAGGGGACGAAAAAAGGGAAUUCUUUCUCGUCUGACGGUACCCUAGGAAUAAGCACCGGCUAACUCCGUGCCAGCAGCCGCGGUAAUUC
rnacentral:rRNA from 1 species